GAUGAAGAACGCAGCGAAAUGCGAUAAGUAAUGUGAAUUGCAGAAUUCCGUGAAUCAUCGAAUCUUUGAACGCACAUUGCGCCCCCUGGUAUUCCGGGGGGCAUGCCUGUCCGAGCGUCAUUGCCGCCCUCAAGCACGGCUUGUGUGUUGGGCCCCCGCCCCCCGGCUUCGGGGGGCGGGCCCGAAAGGCAGCGGCGGCACCGCGUCCGGUCCUCGAGCGUAUGGGGCUUCGUCACCCGCUCUGUAGGCCCGGCCGGCGCCCGCCGGCGACCCCAAUCAAUCUUUCCAGGUUGACCUCGGAUCAGGUAGGGAUACCCGCUGAACUUAAGCAUAUCAAUAAGCGGAGGA
rnacentral:misc_RNA from 1 species